rnacentral:rRNA from 1 species
UACAGAGGGUGCGAGCGUUGUCCGGAAUCACUGGGCGUAAAGGGCGCGUAGGCGGCUUGAUAAGCGUGCGGUGAAAGCCCGGGGCUCAACCCCGGGUCGGCCGUGCGAACUGUCGAGCUGGAGCACUGUAGAGGCAGGUGGAAUUCCCGGUGUAGCGGUGAAAUGCGUAGAUAUCGGGAGGAACAUCAGCGGCGAAGGCGGCUGUCUGGCCCAAUACUGACACUCAGGUGCGACAGCGUGGGGAGCAAACAGG